GACGAACGCUGGCGGCGUGCUUAACACAUGCAAGUCGAACGGAGUGGCGAACGGGUGAGUAACACGUGGGUGACCUGCCCUGCACUUCGGGAUAAGCCUGGGAAACUGGGUCUAAUACCGGAUAGUGUGGGAUGGGCGCGCGGCCUAUCAGCUUGUUGGUGGGGUAAUGGCCUACCAAGGCGGCGACGGGUAGCCGGCCUGGGAGGGUGGACGGCCACAUGAGGACUGAGACACGGACCAGACUCGUACGGGAGGCAGCGGUGGGGAAUAUGGCACAAUGAGGGGAAGCCUGAUGCAGCGACGCGGCGUGGGGGAUGACGGCCUUUGGGUUGUAAACUCCGUUCACCAUCGACGCGGUAGAUGAAGAAGAAGCACCGGCUAACUACGUGCCAGAAGCCGCGGUAAUUC
rnacentral:rRNA from 1 species